rnacentral:lncRNA from 1 species
GGAGGAGCCGAGGGCUCCGGAGUUUGGCGUGAGUUGCUAUGGUCACCGGAUGCUUUAGAGCCUUCUAGAAAGCCGUGGGCUCAAAUCUGGCGGGAUUGGAAGUUACAAAGACUCUGAUGGGGCCGUCCUGGUGGUGCAGUGGUUAAGUUCACACGUUCCGCUUUGGCAACCCAGGCUUCGCCAGUUUGGAUCCUGGGCGGACAUGGCACCACUUGGCAAGCCAUGCUAUGGUAAGUGUCCCACAUAUAAAGUAGAGGAAGAUGGGCACGGAUGUUAGCUCAGACCAGUCUUCCUCAGCAAAAAGAGGAGGAUUGGUGGCAGAUGUUAGCUCAGAGCUAAUCUUCCUAAAAAAAAAAAAAAGACUCUGACCAAGGUCAAAGGACCACUGUUAUCUUACUCAACUUCUCAGCUGCAUUUGACACAGUAGACCCCUUCUUCCUCCUGGAAACAAUUUUUUUCUUAGGCUUCUGUUAUGGACAGAACUGUGUUCCCCCAAAAUUUGUAAGUUGAAGCCUUAACCCCCAAUGUGGCUCUUUUUGGAGAUAGGGCCAUUUAAAGAGGUAAAUAAGGUUAAAUGAAUUCAUAAGGGUGGGGCCCUAAUCCAAUAUGACUAGUGUCCUUAUGAGAAGAGGAAGAGCCACCAGGGAUUUGUGAGCACAGAAGAAAGGCCGUGCGAGGCAGCUGUCUGCAACCCAAAGAGAGAGGCCUCAGGAGAAAGCAAACCUGCCAGCGCCUUGAUCUUGGACUUCCAGCCUCCAGAACUGUGAGAAAAUUAAUUUCUGUUGUUGAAGUCCCACAGGCUAUGGUAUUUUGUUAUGGCAGCCCUAGCAAACUAAUGGAGCUUCUGUGUCACCACUCUUCCCUGGUUUUCUUCCCCCCUCACUAACACCUUCUCACAUCCUGUCCUACCCAGACUUGUAAAUGUUGGGGGCUCCGUCCUUUGCUCUCUCCUCUUUUCCUCUCCCUCUGCACCUUCUCUGUAGGUGAUCUCAUGGCAUCUCUAGCCCAGACCUCUCCUGAGCUCCAGGUACAUCUAUCCACCUACCUCCUGAACAGAUAUCUCAAAACUCACCUGGCUUUGGGAAGAUGAAAAAGUUCUGGUGGAGGAUGGUUGUGAUGGCUGCACAACAAUGUGAAUGUAUUUAAUGCCACUGAACUAUACACUAAAGAAUGGUUAAAUGGUAAAUUUAAUGUUAUAUAUAUUCCACCACAAUAAAAAAUUUGACUUUAUGAGACAAUUUGAAAUUUGAACUCUGACUAGAUAUUUGAUUAUAUUCAAGAAUUAUUACUUAAAAGAAAACUAACGUGGCCAACAUUAAUACUCCCCACGCACACACAAAUUAAUUCUUCCCAAAGUCAUCCCCAUUGAGUUAAAUGGCUCCUUUAAGCAGCAAUUUGCCAAAGCCCAAACCUCCACUCAUGUACCUGUUUGCACAAGCCAAAAUCUAGUCUCAUCUAAUCCAUUGGUAAGUACUGUCAGGGCUCCUCCACAAUAUAUCCUGAGUCUGUCCCCUCUCACCUUGCCAUGUGAAGCAAGGUGCCGUUACUACUCCAGCAUCAUCUCUUGCUCAGACUACUCCCACAGCUUCCUAGCUGGUCUCCUUAUCUCCUUUUUUGGCCCUUUGUAGUCCAUCCUCCACCCAGCAGCCAGAGCAAUCCUUCUAAAGGAUAAGCCAGGUCUUGUUACUCCCUUGCUUAAAAGUAGCCCUUCAUGGAUUGCCAUUGCAUUCAGGAUAAAUUCCAAAUUCCCAACCAUGGCCUCUCAGGAGUAACACCAUCAAGGCCCUGCCCACUUCUCCAGCCUCAUCUUGUCCCACACUUGCCUUCACUCACCAGGCUCCCUCCUGACGGGCUGAUUUCACUUCCUCAAAUGCCCUGUCCUAGUUCCUAGGCCUUUGGCAGCCAACUCCAUUUCAUCCAUCAAGUGUCAACCCAAAUGUCCCUUCCUCUGUGGGGCCUUUACGACCCUGAUAUACAGAGUAAUCCUCCAUCUCCUUGAUUUUUGCUUUCAAAGUGCCUUGUGCUCAUCCUCUGUAGUUACUUACUACAACUGAAAUAUGUGAUCAAGAAAUUUUGGUUCUUGAGGCCGGCCGCAUGACAUAGUGGUUGAGUUUGGCAUGCUCCACUUCAGUGGCCUGGGUUCACAGGUUCAGAUCCCGGCACAGACCUAGACCACUCAUCAGCCAUGCUGUGGUGGCAACCCAUAUAUAACGUGGAGGAAGAUUGGCACAGAUGUUAGCUCAGGGCUAACCUUCCUCAGCAAAAAAAAAGAAAAAGAAGAAAUUUUGGUUCUACAUCCAUAUCCUAUCACUGGAAUAUAAACUUCAUGAAAGAUAGCACUUGUCUGGUUCAUCCAAGCAUUCAGCUCAGAGUCUCAAAUGUUGUAGAAUCUCAAUAACUAUUUGGGGAAUGAACAAAUGGUCUUUGCCUGAUACUAUUGAAUCUUAUUAUAUAACUUAUCAAUAAAUAUUGGUAAAAUUUAUUGACUUCUUAUUAAGUGUCCAGUACUGUACCAAACAUUUUACAAACAUUAUUUGACUUAAAAUAGUGCUCCUAUGUUAUUGUCCCCAUUUGGGAGAUGAGAAAACAGGGACAGAGAAGUGAAGUCUUGUGCCCGAGGUCACACAGCUGAAAGGGUAGAGCCAGGAUUCAAACCCAUGAAGCCCAACUCCAGAGCCUGCAGACUUACCCACUUCACCUUAGAGUUCUGCCUCCCUGAAUUGGCAUUCUGAUUUUAUACAUCAGUCCCAGACGCUUGUUUGAUGUGACGCCUCCCUGAGAAACCAAGGCCUGAUCCUGGACCCUGGUGAAUUCACUAAGAUAAUAAAUGUCACCCUGGAAGGCCUCUUGGUGACCAAUCAGCCUCCCCUAAGGACCUCUGAUCCCAUCUACAUUUGAACACCACCAAUGGCAGGAAUUACACGAAGUAGAAUUUAUCAAAAUUCCUACUACAAACCUAUAAGCAGCACUACAAGUAGCAAAUACAUCUAUGUGUGAAGUGGCACGUUUAUGUAUCCUGACUAUCAGGAAUAGAACUUUUUUUUUCCUAAGGAAGAUUCACCCUGAGCUAACAUCUGAGCCAAUCUUCCUCUAUUUUGUAUGUGGGUUGCUGGCACAGCAUGGCCGCUGACAAGUGGUGUGGGUCCACGUCCGGGAACUGAAUCCAGGCCACCGAAGCAGAGCGUGCUGAACUUAACCUCUAGGUUAUGGGGCCAGCCCCAAUAAAAACUUUUUUUUGAUCAACCAUGCAAGAGGAAAGACAAAAUCAUUCUCGCUGUUGAAUUCUUACUGUAGAAUUCUCACUGUAGAUUCUCACAGUAGAAUCUCACUGUAUCCUCACUGUAGAAUUUUAUUUUUGAAAAUUGUUAACAGCUCUACUUUCUCCUCUUCCUGAAAAUUUCAAUCCUAAAACUGUUAGCAGAACAAGGUACAAGUAUGUGUCAGAAGAGAGAAGGAGCCUCAGUGGCCCAGAGCAGAAGUUAGAGUGCCAGCAGGGUGUGGAGGGUGUCUGCACAGAGAAGCCACCUGGCAUGGAGUGACAGAGCCCUAGCAGAAUGAUGAGGGUAUCCCCGAGUGGGAGGGGGCAGCCUGACACAGGUAUCAGAGCCCAAGAGGGGUGGGGAGGCAUCUCACAGGGGAGCGGGCAGCAGUGGAGAUGGGACAUUGGUUCCAAAUGGUGGCUUGAUCCAAUAAGUAAAAGAAUUAAGAAUAAUGGAAGCCAGAUUUCCGAGUGUCAGAGAAAGGAGAUAUAAAUACAGAAAGGGCGAAAACUAGAAUGAACCUCGUUUUAGUGGCUUAGAACUGCAGAUAAUGAUCUGAACUCGUGUUUUUUAGUACUAUGUAUAAAUAGAUAUAGAAAUAAAUAUAAAUGUAAGCGUGUGUGUGUGCACAUUCCCUAGCUCUGGGAGGGCCUGGGAGUAGUGACACCCUAACAGCAAUGAGCCAAUCUUGGUUUCUAAAGAUGAUUCUAGUGUGCAAGUUAUGGUUUUUAAAUGCUAUUGUAGCUUCUUGGAGUACUGGUUGAUUCCAGGGGCUUUGAAGUGAUAUCUUGUUAUACCAGAAAACAAAGGAUGUUCAAAGAAUGAUGGGCUGUGUCAAAAAAAACACAGACGCUGGCUUGAAGGAGUUCCUAUUAGCCAAAUCUGUGACAGUCUUAGCCUCAAAAUAACGAUAGUAACAGAUUACAAGCCACUGAAUAAAACAGGAGACGUUGAGUUCAUAACUAAAUACAUACAUACAUUCAAUGUGUGAGGAGGAAUAUAUACAAAGGUUCAAAAUACCUUCUCACAAAAUACUGACUCAUUACAAAGGGGAAAAGAUGAACUAUAGUGGAGAAGCUUGGCAGACAUCACCCUAAUCAAGUGACCAAAGUGAACCAUGGGACAAAUGGAAAUGUGUGCUACCUGAUAGGAUGUAUCAAGAACACAGUAUCACUUCUGUGAUAUUCCUGCUAAAGAUGCGUAGCCUGAGUAAUCACAAGGGAGCCUCCGACAAACCCAAAUUGAGAGCCAUACUACAAAAUAACAAUUCUCCAAAAGUGCCAAGGUCGUGAAAGGCAAGGGAAGACCAAGGACGCUUUCCUGACUGGCAAAGACUAAAGAGACAUGAUAAAGAAGUGCAAUGUGAGAUUCUGGACUGUGCCCUCCCACCAUCACUCACUGAAGCAUUUGGUGAAACUUAAAUAGGGUCUGAGAUUAGCUGUAAAUUUCCUGAUUUUGUUCCACGUUAAUUUCCUGAUGCUGAUGGUUAUACACUGUAUUGUGAUUAUAUAGGAGAAUGUCCUUGUUUGUAGAAAUUACACACUAAAGUAUUUGGGGGUUGUGGAGCUUCAGGUUGGAAAUUUACUCUCAAAUGGUUCAAGGUUAAACAAGUUUCCUGUACUGUACCUGUAAACUUUCUGUGUUUGUAAUGGUUUCAAAAUAAGUAUCAUUGACAUGGGAAGAGAUGAGCAAAGAGUGUGCAGCUAAAACAUGUAGGCAAAUAUUGUUAGGCAAUUGAUCAG